CUACUCAUUUUGCAUGAAUCCCAAAUACAGCACUAUUUUAUUACCUGUAGUCCUCAUGUUGUACAUUAGCUCUCUAGACUUAGUCAUCCUGCAUAUCUGCUACUUUGUAUCCUCUGACCUACAUCUCCUCAUUUCCUUCUCCCCUGAAACCACUGUUUUUUUUUCUCUAUCUCUGU